GUUCGAGAUCAACCUGGAGGUACCCAGCGCUCUCGAUCUUUCUCGGUGCCUGAUGACCCGCGACCAGGCCACCUCACGACGGCGCACCACCACAAAUUGCUUCCUCUCCUCGUCGCCGACGUCUCUCUGGGGUCAGGUCUUUCAACCGGAAGCUCUGGCGCGAGAAUCGACACCAUGAAGCCUCAUGUUUUCCGGCGAGUUUCUGCAACUUCCGGUGACCGAUUGGGCUGCAUGUGAAGCUGUGAAUGAGUGGAAUUCGAUUUGGCAGUAUGUUUAAUUGUUUAUAGCCGGCUUCCAGGAAAGAGUUGAAAUAGAAGCUUGGGUUCUCACCUGCAAGUCGCACUGCUGAAGGUAAAAUUCGAGGUUCUGGAAGAAAUUGUUUCUUGUUUUGUACUUGGAUUGAGAAAUUAGUUCGAGCUAUGUUGAAUGGGUUGUUGAAUGAAAUUGAUUGUUAUGUUGGCACUCUGAGCAUAGAUUCAAACUCUUUUGUCUGGUGUGGUGAGAUUAUCAAAGCAUGAGUAUUUUGGUGGAAGCAUUUACUGGUGCAUAGCCUGGUAUUCAUUGGAAAUUGGACAUAUAGUGGAUAUAAAAUUGUUUUGAGUUGGCUUGGAAAA